rnacentral:rRNA from 1 species
UACGUAGGGGGCAAGCGUUGUCCGGAUUUAUUGGGCGUAAAGAGCGUGUAGGCGGUCAGGCAGGUCUGCUGUGAAAACUCGAGGCUCAACCUCGAGCUGUCGGCGGAAACCAUCUGGCUAGAGUCCGGAAGGGGAGAGUGGAAUUCCUGGUGUAGCGGUGAAAUGCGCAGAUAUCAGGAAGAACACCCGUGGCGAAGGCGGCUCUCUGGGACGGUACUGACGCUGAGGCGCGAAAGCGUGGGGAGCGAACAGG